rnacentral:tRNA from 1 species
GGGGAUAUAGCUUGGUGGUAGAGUGUUUGACUACAGCUCAAGUGGUCCUUGGUUCAAAUCCAAGUUCCCUCU